UCUGGUUGAUCCUGGCGGAGGCCAUUGCUAUUGGGAUCCGAUUUAGCCAUGCUAGUCGUUCUAGUUGAGACUCGUGGCGAAUAGCUCAGUAACACGUGGCCAAACUACCCUUCGGACCGCAAUACCCUCGGGAAACUGAGGUUAAUAGCGGACACCACACGCAGACUGGAAUGUCGCGUGUGCCAAAUGCUCCGGCGCCGAAGGAUGUGGCUGCGGCCGAUUAGGUAGACGGUGGGGUAACGGCCCACCGUGCCAAUAAUCGGUACGGGUCAUGAGAGUGAGAACCCGGAGACGGAAUCUGAGACAAGAUUCCGGGCCCUACGGGGCGCAGCAGGCGCGAAACCUUUACACUGCACGCCAGUGCGAUAAGGGGAUCCCAAGUGCGUAGGCAUGGAGCCUACGCUUUUGUCCACCCUAGGGUGGUGGACGAAUAAGGGCUGGGCAAGACCGGUGCCAGCCGCCGCGGUAAUACCGGCAGCCCGAGUGAUGGCCGAUCUUAUUGGGCCUAAAGCGUCCGUAGCUGGCCGCACAAGUCCAUCGGGAAAUCCACCUGCUCAACAGGUGGGCGUCCGGUGGAAACUGUGUGGCUUGGGACCGGAAGGCGCGACGGGUACGUCCGGGGU
rnacentral:rRNA from 1 species